UUUGCUAUUCGAUGACCAGUGG
rnacentral:miRNA from 2 species